rnacentral:rRNA from 1 species
AACGAACGCUGGCGGCAGGCUUAACACAUGCAAGUCGAACGCCCCGCCAGGGGAGUGGCCGACGGGUGAGUAACGCGUGGGAAUCUACCCAUCCCUACGGAAUAACGCAUGGAAACGUGUGCUAAUACCGUAUACGCCCUACGGGGGAAAGAUUUAUCGGGGAUGGAUGAGCCCGCGUUGGAUUAGCUAGUUGGUGGGGUAAAGGCCUACCAAGGCGACGAUCCAUAGCUGGGCUGAGAGGAUGACCAGCCACAUUGGGACUGAGACACGGCCCAAACUCCUACGGGAGGCAGCAGUGGGGAAUAUUGGACAAUGGGCGCAAGCCUGAUCCAGCCAUGCCGCGUGAGUGAUGAAGGCCUUAGGGUUGUAAAGCUCUUUCACCGGAGAAGAUAAUGACGGUAUCCGGAGAAGAAGCCCCGGCUAACUUCGUG